GGGGGUUGUAUUCAAGGCUUCGUUUAUUUUAGCCAGUGCUUCCUUUGCUUCUUCUUUAGAAUAAACAAUUCUAGAGCUUGAAAGCUCGGACUCUAAGCUAGUGAAGAAUGUGUUCAUGUCUUCCUCAGCAGACUCUUCAGGUUCAAUGGCCUGAAAUGGUGGAAAAGAAAAGCAAUAAUAAGAUAUAUAUAUAUACGCAUUAAUAUUAACUGAUUUAGGUAACGUACCACAGUCUGGCUAGAAGACUGAGUUGGUGAAGGAGGUGUGAUUUCUACUGGUUUGGUUGUAGGAGUUUUCUGGUUGUCUAUGACUGCCUUAACACAAUCAGCUUCCUUGGCCUUAAGUUCAUCCCAAUCAGUUUUGACUAUAAAUUCAUGGGAAAUAAAAUCUAGAGUCUUAUCAGUGCAAACGUAUACUUCAACCAAGCAUGCAUCAUUAAGGAGAUAGCCUCUUUUAGGGUCGUGUAAUUCAGUAAGACGUAAGAAUGAAGUGAAGCCCCAAUCAGCCUGCCUCGCGUUGAAACAAUGGUGAGUGACUGCCAAAAACAACAGUGCCUUAUCAUCAACAACCAGUUCAGUACAGAAGCUGACAGACUCUACGAAGAAAGGAUGGCAUAGAUAAAAUAUUUGGCAUCUGGACUUCAACAGUUUUGACCAUACCAACGCCUCAAACAAGCUGAGCUUUAGGUAAUAUGAAUUCAAAGCUUCCUUUAUAAACCCCGAAACUUCUUCGUAGUGGCUCUUCCAUGCUUCAUUACAUUAUAUAUUGUCAUUUGGUUCUAGUCUAUCAUUUCUAUUUCUAUGUAUGCUUGUACGUGGAAAGCUCAAGCAUUCCCCAAUGAGACAGAGCCCCAGUUGAACAUACAAAAUAAAUGCAAAACAGAACAAGAGGAAGCAAUAGCCAUUGUUUUCCUAAAGCUUUGACAAAUGACAAGUAACCGAGUAAUAACAAAAAGAGUCGAAUUACACAACUGGUUCACGCAGUCACUCUUAAGAGCUAGCAUUCAGCAUAUCAGUGACCCUUCCCUUAUUCCUAUAUUAUGGCUAUCUUAUAUAGCCUCUUUAAACCCAUUAAAUAAGAACAAGAAUAAAAUGCUGAUCCCUUGUUUGUACUACGAAAUUGUGAUUGCUACAACAAAUAACAAUAUACCUUUUGUACUAGAAGUUUCACGAUCCAAUUGAUCGAUGACUCCGAAUCCGACUUGGGCAUAUUUACUCCAUCCGUAAGGCAGAGUAGCUGAAUCUGCUACAUCUAAAUAAAUUGACAAAUGAUCCACAUUGUUCCCCUUGGGGAAGAUAAGAACUCGCCUGCCAAAUAAGUUUGUAAAUCUGAGUCAUAGGGAGAUGAAAACUGGAAAUAAAAACAUAAAGCAACAACAAGAAGAAAAAGAUCAAAGUUACCAUUUGUAGCUAUCAAAUGUAAAAACUUCAGAGUAGAGCUUUUUGUCUACAAGACUGGAGAAAUUCUGAAUCCUCCAUGUGAACUUCUUUAUUUUUACAUCAAUAUCCAUAUAUUGAAACUUACUAUCCACUGCACUCAAAAUCUUAAACAUUACAAAACAUACAUAAUAAUAGAAGAAAGGAUUAUAAGUAGAAGCUAUACCUGCCAUUACGAGAGAAUGUGGUGCUACCUGCAGUGCAGAAAAGUGGAGGGGAUGAAGAUUCAAGGUUCCUUAGAGUUCCAAGUUUGUUUAAAUAUUGACAAGUCCUCUUCUUUUGUCAAAAGUUAGUUGACUUAAACUACUUAGGCUUUAAGCUAUCCUUUAUUAUUUUCUUUCACUGUUUAUAAAAAUUAAUAGAAAGUUAUGUAAAUAAUUUUUAUAUUUAUUUAAAAAAUAAAAAAUGAUGGCAAUUCUAUUAGUUGGGUCACUCAAGUAUUAAUGUAUUUCUAUUUUGGUCAUCUAAUUUCAAACAUUUUCAAUUCUAUCACCAAAAUUAUCAAUGUUGAUUUUUUUUUUUGCUUAUAUGUCAAAAAAGCCCUUAAGAAAAUGCAAACAAACAAAAUCAAUUAAGCCCCUAUAUUAAAUUCACACUCAACUAACCUCCUAUCGUUAACUAAAAUAAUCAAUUAAGCCCUUCCAGUAACAAUUUCCGUCAUUGACUACGUUGACUAUUAAAAUAAAUUGAUGGACCAAUUAAAUAGUGACAUGUGGCAACUUUUGGUUUAAUAUAAUAUUUUCCCUUAAAAAUCAUAAAAAAUAAAAAAUUAUAAAAAGAUAUUAAAAUUUAUAUAAACUUAUAAAUAUUAUAAAAAUAUAAAAAAUUAAUGAAACCUAUUUAAAAUAAAAUAUAUAUUAGAAUUCUUUAAAAAAAUAUUAAAAUUAUUAAAAUUGUAUAGACUUAUAAAAAUUAUAAAACAAUCAUAGAAACUUGAAUUGUACCAAUUAGCCCAAAGUCUCAAGUUUACCAAUUCGAAAAAAGUCAUUAGAUUGGUUGACUUGGGAACUGGACGAUUGAAUCGAUUUUUUUUUAUUUUUUAAUAAUUUUUAUCAAAAAAAAAUUUAUUAUCCAACUAUUAGCAUAUACCAUAAUGAAAUAUCCUGACCAAGGUUUCCAUAAUUGAACAGCUGGUCGAGUCGUUCAAGCCAUUGAUUUUACAGUUAGACUAAUUCAUCCAAUUCAAUUAAAUAAAACAUUAAAAAUAAAAAAAUAUAUUAAAAAUUUGAUUCAACCAUCCGGUUUCCAGGUCAACCGAUCUAAUGACUUUCUCCAAAUUGAUACCCUUAUCGAUUUCGGUCUAAUCGGUCAAACAAAUUGAUCCAAUCCAAUUUAAGUUUUUAUGAUUUUUUUUAUAAUUUUUAUAAGUUUAAAAUCGGACCUUGUUAAAUUAAAAAUAGAUAGGGCAUUUUUAAAAGACCUUGGAAAAUUAAAAACAAUUCGAAUUGACUCAAAACCUAUUAGGCUUAAAACAAAUUUAGACUCUUAAUUUGGGCUAAUUUUAAAUUUUAUUUAGAUUUUUUAAAAAUUAAUUUGGCUCUAAAAAAUCAAUUUGAGUUUCUAAAACAAAUCAAAUUGGACUUCUUUAAAAACAGAUUUGACAACAAAAUUUUCAAAACAAAAUCCAAAUAAAUUUAGGUUUUGAGUAGCAAAUUUAAAGAACAUCAGAUUGGGUUUUGAAAAACAAUAAAAUUGGGCCUUAGCCUUAAUAUCAAACCCAAAAGGAUCUGAAAACCCAAAAGAUUUUUACUUAAAAUUCAUUUGAUUUUUGGGUAAACCACACAAAUGGUCACCCAACUAUGCACGUGUUCUUGUUCUGGUCACUGAACUUUAAAAAAUUUUAAUUUAAACACUGAUAUUUGAAUUCGUUCCUGUUUUGAUCAGCCACCAUUAAAUUGGUAACGGUAUAAUAACACAUUUAGUCCUCAAUACUUACAUAUUCUAGCAUUUUGAUCUUAAUUAUAAAUAAUUCAAUAAAUUUAACCCUUCACGUUUACAAAUUGUAUCAAUUUGAUUAUCAAACUUACUAAUCAAAGUUUUCAACUUUUAUAAAUGUGAACCCUAAAAAAGAAAAAAAACUUCUCUCAACUAAUGAGUCGUUUUCCGAGCUAAUUCUUGAUACCAAUAAGUUUCUCUUGAAAAAAAUUUAUAGUGUUAGUAUUUUAUAGUGUUGGUGCCGGAAUAAUUUUUGUUAUUGUUUGCGAUAAUAUAAAUUUUUUUGGCCCUUAAACUCGGCUAUUAGGUUCAAUUUUGAGAUUAUAUCACAUUAUUGCUUGAAAAUUAAUACAUAUAAUUCUAGGUGAUAAUAUGGUAUAACCUUAGAGAGUCGCACAUAGAUUUUAAUAAUCGAGCCAAUAAUUCAAUUAGUCAAACUUUUGGUUCUUGAUUCAAUUGGUUUGUUCAGUUUAGUUGCUAGACCAAUAAUUACUAAUGCGACAUUAAACUAUCGGAAAUGGAUAAUAUCCCUGUUUUAUAAAAUCCUUUCUCUAUUGUGGAAUUCAAAUUUUAGUUUUUAAACAAAUCCCAACAUUAAUGUUAUAAAAUAAAAGAAAUUUAGCUAGAAAUAUAAAGAAAUAAAAGAAUGCUAUAAAAGACCAUAAUUGAGAAUGUUGACCUUAUUUUUUUAUUAAAAACGGGGUCGACUUGGGUUUUGAAAAAAAGAAACAGGAGUCGCCACCAAUCCUUUUUUUUUAUAAGGUGUGAUUGGAUCACCUCGAAAAUGAGUUGUUUUUAAUAAACGGUUUGAUUUUAUUAAAACAACAAGUUUGGUCCACGAAAUUCAGAAAAACGGGUUCGGGAGUCAGUUACGCACGAGGAAGGAUUAGCACCCUCGAUACGCCCAAAAUUGGUACCUAGUUGAUUACUUAAUGUCUUAAUGUCGAAAAUUGAAAACCUUGAAGAAUUUUAAAAAUACGAUCCUUGUAUUAAAAUGUUAAAAAUUUUCAGGAAAAGGGCAUGUUUCACGUUAUUCGAGAAAGAGAAUUAUAUCCAGUAAGUUAUGACACAAUAUCUCGAAUUCCCGAUACGUGAAUGAAAAUGCUUGUUCAAAAGAUAUUUAACUAUCUUGGAUUAAAAAAGAGAUCGCGGCCAGUAAGUUAGGACACGAUCCUUUUUUAAUUCCCGAUAUCGUUUAAAACUUGAGUUUGAAAAUAUUCACGUAAUAAAAUUUAAAAGAAUAUUCAGUUGUUUAAAUCAAAUGAAGAAAUCUCAACCCAAUUCGUUAGGACACAAUUUCUCAAAAUAUCAAACAUUGAAUAUUGCAUUUAUUUUUUAAAAAAAAUCUUCAUCUUAAGAAAUCAACGUGUCACAUCCAAUGCAUUAGGACACGACGUAUUGAAUUCUCGAUGAUGAGCUUUUUAUUUAUGUUUUUUAUAAAAGAGUAAUUUCGAUUAUUUUGAUUCAACAAAGAAAAUCGGAACCCAAUACGUUAGGGCUCAAUUCUCUCGAAGAUCUCAAAUAUCGAGUGUUAUUUUUAUUUUGAAAUUUUCCGUUUUUGGAUAAAUCUGAGUAAAGAAAAAUGAAUGUAAAAUAAUAAUAAUGAUGAUAAUGCAAAUAAAAUAAUACAAGCAAAAUAAGAAAAGAUAAAUAAAUAAGAUGACAAAUAUAAUAAAAAGAAAUCAACAAAUAAAAGUAAAUAAACAAAUAAAAUUAAAGCACUUUAAGUAAAUAAUAAUAAUGAGCAUGUAAAUAAAUAAAUAAAUUAACACCAAAUGAAACAAUAGUAAUGAAUAAAAUUAUGAUAUAUAUAUGCAUGUAUGUAUGUUAGAAUUAUAAAGUAUAUAUAAUAUAUAUAAUAUAUUUUAAAAUAUAAAGAAUAUAUAAAUAUAUAUAUAAAAUAUGUACAUAUGCGUAGGUAUAUAGAAAUUAUAGAAUAUGAAAAUAAUGAAAUACAUGUAAAAAAGGGUAGGUAUAUAUGUACAAAAAUGUAUGUAAGUAUACUUAUUUUUUUUAAGAUUAUAAAGUAAAUGCAAAAAAGAAUAUAUGUAUGUAUAUCUAAACUAUCAUAUAAUAAUAAUAUGAUGAAUAAAAAUGAUAUAAAUAAUAAUAGAAAUAAUAAUCAUAAUAAUAAAAGAUAAUAACAUUAAAAUAAUGAAGAAAAAAUAAUAAUAAUAAUAAAAGUGUUAAAAAAGGACUAAAUCGAAGUAAAAACAAAGAUACUGGGCGAAUUUAAACAUGGAAAAUACAAAGGGGACUCAUUUAUAAUGCGCGCGAAGCCCAGGGGAUCGAUUUGGAAAAUAUCCCGAGCCCUACACGCAGCGUUUUGACACGGGCUGAAAUGAAACACAUGAGAAAUUAUGCGACCGAAUUUACAAAACAAAACAGGACUAAAUUGCACCAGAGCGCUAAGGAGGAGGGGCCUCGCGCGCAAAUAUCCUCUCCAGCGAAAACACGCGGACCCUCCGGGUCGGAUCGAGUCGACGGGCGGAUCUGGGGGCAAAACGGCGUCGUUUUAACGCCUGGGGCUAUGGCGCAAAACGGCGCCGUUUUGAGUGCUUAUAAAAUCAAAAAAAAAAAUUAACUUCAUUUUCUGCUCUUUCAAAGAAAAAAACAAAUUCUCUUAAAAAAUCCUCUCUCCUUCCAGUCCAUAGCCCAGAAUCCGGCGAGAAGAACCGCCGUCGACGCCGUCGUGCCGGCCACCGUGUAAAUUCAAAGGUAAUUUUUUUUUCUUUUUUUUAUAUGUUAUAUAUAUAUACAGUUUUUAAAAAAUAAAAGAAACAAAAUCAAACACAAAUAGUUCGAAAGAAAAAAAAAUAAAGAGAAAAAAAUAAAAAUAGAAAAGGAAAAUAGAUAUAUUGAAAAAUGGGUUAUUGAAUCUGUUUUUUUUUUGCUUUUUUAUUUCUUUAAAUCGUGAAAAAGGGGGCAGCCCCAUUACAGAUCUUUGAAUGACUUUAUAGCCAUUUUUACAAUAUUUUUUAUUUAUUACUUGUGAUUUCUUUCUCUAGUUUUGCAGGCAAGUGGCGAUGGGACGUGCGGCGGCAGAAGCUGCGGUGGCAGGGCAAGUGGGCGACAUGACCGUGGCGGCUGGUCAGCAGAUGCGGCGCUAGGGUUUCUUUUCUGAAACCCUAGUUUGACUUUGGGGGAUUGGGCCGGUUGUGUAGUUGGGCUAGGUUAUUGGGCUAAAUUAGGCUACUGUUUUGUUUGGGUUAUGUUGUGUAGGUUUUGGGUAUUGGGUUUGUAAUUGGUUUUUGGGCUGGGAAAAUAUUGGGCUGUACAGAGAACAUAAUUCUACUUUAUGUGUUCUCAUUCACUUGAAUCAACUAUGUGUUGGGGUAAAAAAACAAUGAUAAACUUUACAAAAUUAAAGAUAAAUAAAGAGAUAAAUUAAUACAUAAAGAUAAAUAAAUGAUUUAUCUUAGAUAAAUAGAAGUAAUUUAUCUCCUAUUAUAUGUAUAUCCACAAUAAUUUAUUAUUUAUAAAUAUUAAAUAUUAAAUUAAAAAUAAUGUAAAUAUAUAUUUUUAUCUUGAUAGAAAGAAAUAAUUUAUCUCCAUGGAUAAUUACAAUAAUUUAUUAUUUAUAACAAUUAAAUGUUAAAUUAAAAAUAAUAAUAUGACGGACUUCAAAUAAAUAAAUUUGGGUUAAUUGUUUAUCAUAUUUUAGUCAAAUUGACCCCAGUAUAAACAUUAAAUUAUGCAUACAUUACUAUAAUAAAUAGUGAAUUGUGGCCCAUAUAAUUUUAACUUGAUUAGUAUUGACAUUCUUACUAGUGCAGGAGAAUGUCGAUUUAAAUGCGCUGAAAUAUAUUUUCGUCCUAUUUAAAGUUUGAGAUAAGCUAUAGAUAGUUCCAUAUAUUAUAUAUAUAUAUAUAUAUAUAAAAACUUAUAUCAUAAAAAAUUAUAAUAAGAUUAAUGUUCCCAAAAAAAAACCAAAUAAAUAAUUUAAGCAUGCCAAUAAGAAGAAUACCAUAUUCCAUAUAUACCUCCUACAUAUCAUUUAUAUAAAAUUUAUAUAAUAUAAAGUCUUGUUCAAAACACCAAUACUUAAAUCUUAGCUUCAAUGGAAGAGAUGAAAUCUUUGAUUCUUCCCCAUUCAGCCUCAACACUCUUCUCUUCUUCCUCACCAACCUUGGCAGUGGCCUCACACUCUGCCAAUUCCUUUCCCAAUGCAUCCAACUCCAUUUUCAUUUCCUUGCAACUUCUGUAUAUCCCCUUUCGUUCAGCCAACAUCUUCUCCUUUCUCUUUUGUGCUUCUUCAACUUCCUCACGGAGGGCAGCAAGUGUUUGAUCCACCUGUUUCACCUCUGUUUCGACCUCCUUAUAUCUGAUUAGGCUACUCUCCAAAUUACAAGUCAUCGUCCGCUUGAUAGAUUCCUUGGCGGUAAGUUGAUCCUUGUCCUGCACUGCUUUCGCUGCUCGGUUAGCUAGUUCUUUCAAUCUUUCGUCCAAGCCCAACAACUCAUUCUUUUGAUCAAUUGUAAGGGUGGUGGAGGAACCAUCAAAACUAGCUAGGAUCAUGAAUGCCUGCUUAAGUGGAGAAAACUUCCCUGAAUCGUUAAGAUUAACGGGGGUUGUAUUCAAGGCUUCGUUUAUUUUAGCCAGUGCUUCCUUUGCUUCUUCUUUAGAAUAAACAAUUCUAGAGCUUGAAAGCUCGGACUCUAAGCUAGUGAAGAAUGUGUUCAUGUCUUCCUCAGCAGACUCUUCAGGUUCAAUGGCCUGAAAUGGUGGAAAAGAAAAGCAAUAAUAAGAUAUAUAUAUAUAUACGCAUUAAUAUUAACUGAUUUAGG
rnacentral:lncRNA from 1 species